rnacentral:tRNA from 1 species
UAAGACUUAUAGACAAUUUAAUUAAGCUAAAACCUUC